GAAACUGGAAGGCGGUAUCAUGCUGUAUCAUGUACACAUGUAUUGUAUCUUUUAGGAUGUCCUGACCUAUCAUGAUGUGCAUGUGAACUUCACUCAGGAAGAGUGGGCAUUGCUGAAUCCUUCUCAGAAGAGUCUCUACCAAUGUGUAAUGCUGGAGACCUGUAGGAAUCUCAGCACUCUAGGAUGUACUGACCAAUGAUGAUGUGCAUGUGAACUUCACUCAGGAAGAGUGGGCAUUGCUGAAUCCUUCUCAGAAGAGUCUCUACCACGGUGUAAUGCUGGAGACCGAUAGGAAUCUCAGCGCUAUAGGCUACAUUUGAGAAGACAAUACUACUGAAGAGUACUGUAAAAGUUCUAGAAGACAUGGAAGGUAAUUGUCACAUGAAAGAUGAUAAGAUAAUACCUCCCAAGAAAGUUUCAUAUGUGUAGCAAGUUUUAAAGAAAAGCAACUGGGUAAAAUACACACUGCAUCAAAUAUUGAUUAGGUCAUCAUUAUAU